rnacentral:rRNA from 1 species
UACAGAGGUCCCGAGCGUUGUUCGGAUUCAUUGGGCGUAAAGGGUGCGUAGGUGGCGCUGUAAGUGGGGUGUGAAAUCCCGGGGCUUAACCCCGGGACUGCAUUCCAUACUGCGGUGCUUGAGGACUGGAGAGGAGACUGGAGUUUACGGUGUAGCAGUGAAAUGCGUAGAGAUCGUAAGGAAGACCAGUGGCGAAGGCGGGUCUCUGGACAGUUCCUGACACUGAGGCACGAAGGCCAGGGGAGCAAACGGG